GACGAACGCUGGCGGCGUGCUUAACACAUGCAAGUCGAACGCUGAAGACCUGGCUUUUGUUGGGUUGGAUGAGUGGCGAACGGGUGAGUAACACGUGAGUAACCUGCCCUCUUCUUUGGGAUAACGCCCGGAAACGGGUGCUAAUACUGGAUAUUCACUGAUCUUGCAUGGGGGUUGGUGGAAAGGUUUGUUCUGGUGGGGGAUGGGCUCGCGGCCUAUCAGCUUGUUGGUGGGGUGAUGGCCUACCAAGGCUUUGACGGGUAGCCGGCCUGAGAGGGUGACCGGUCACAUUGGGACUGAGAUACGGCCCAGACUCAUACGGGAGGCAGCAGUGGGGAAUAUUGCACAAUGGGCGAAAGCCUGAUGCAGCGACGCCGCGUGAGGGAUGGAGGCCUUCGGGUUGUACACCUCUUUCGCUCAUGGUCAAGCCGCAACUGUGGGUUGUGGUGAGGGUAGUGGGUAAAGAAGCGCCGGCUAACUACGUG
rnacentral:rRNA from 1 species